rnacentral:misc_RNA from 1 species
UAAAUUAGGCUGCUAUGCCCAGGA